rnacentral:rRNA from 1 species
GAGAGGGUGACCGGCCACAAUGGGACUGAGACACGGCCCAGACUCCUACGGGAGGCAGCAGUGGGGAAUAUUGCACAAUGGAGGAAACUCUGAUGCAGCGACGCCGCGUGAAGGAUGAAGUAUUUCGGUAUGUAAACUUCUAUCAGCAGGGAAGAAAAUGACGGUACCUGACUAAGAAGCCCCGGCUAACUACGUGCCAGCAGCCGCGGUAAU